rnacentral:rRNA from 1 species
CCUACGGGUGGCAGCAGUGGGGAAUAUUGGACAAUGGGGGGAACCCUGAUCCAGCCAUGCCGCGUGUGUGAAGAAGUAUUUCGGUAUGUAAAGCUCUAUCAGCAGGGAAGAAAGAAAUGACGGUACUAGAUUUAGAAGCCUCGGCUAACUACGUGCCAGAAGCCGCGGAAAUACGUAGGGGGCAAGCCUUAUCCGGAGUGACUGGGUGUAAAGGGAGCGUUGACGGUUACGCAAGUCUGGAGUGAAAGGCGGGGGCCCAACCCGGGAACUGCGUUGGAAACUGUAUAGCUGGAGUGCAGGAGAGGUGAGUGGAAUUCCGGGUGUAGCGGUGAAAUGCGUAGAUAUUAGGAGGAACACCAGUGGCGAAGGCGGCUUACUGGACUGUGACUGAGGUUGAGGCUCGAAAGCGUGGGGAGCAAACAGGAUUAGAUACCCUUGUAGUC